UAUUCAGUCCGAUCAAUUCAGGAACCAUCUAACGAAUGCCAAAGUGAUGUCCAAAACAAGACUAUACUUUGUAAAUUUCGUUAAGAAAUGAAUGCCAAAGUGUUGUCUAAACAAGACUAUACUUUGUGAAUUUCGUUAAGGUUCUGAUCUCGUGACCAUCGUUAGGUUUGAUUUGGUAUAACACUAAUACGUAUUCCACUCUGUUAAACUAAAUGUUUAACUACCAGAAAACUCUACACCCUACACUUACAAUUAAACAAGAUAACUAAUCAUCAAAAGAUUCAGAUCUACAAAGUAGAUGCUUGUUUAAUCAAGACUAUAUGCUAACAAGGUAAUUACAGUAGAUUGGAAUAAGAGUGAUGAUACGGCACCGAAAGGCUUAAAGAAAUGGCUUAAUUUAUCAAUUGAAUUAAAUUAAGCAAACAUGGUUUCAUAUAUUCGGGUGUAUCCCUUAUUGAAGCUACCUUUGUAAAAGAUGGGUUUUAUCCCGUCUAUUUAAUAAAUAAAAUCCGUUGUUUUCUAAA